GACGAACGCUGGCGGCGUGCUUAACACAUGCAAGUCGAACGGUAAGGCCCUUCGGGGUACACGAGUGGCGAACGGGUGAGUAACACGUGGGUGAUCUGCCCUGCACUUCGGGAUAAGCCUGGGAAACUGGGUCUAAUACCGGAUAGGACGCCUGGCUUCCUGGUCGGGGGUGGAAAGCUUUUGCGGUGUGGGAUGGGCCCGCGGCCUAUCAGCUUGUUGGUGGGGUAAUGGCCUACCAAGGCGACGACGGGUAGCCGGCCUGAGAGGGUGACCGGUCGCACUGGGACUGAGAUACGGCCCAGACUCCUACGGGAGGCAGCAGUGGGGAAUAUUGCACAAUGGGCGCAAGCCUGAUGCAGCGACGCCGCGUGAGGGAUGACGGCCUUCGGGUUGUAAACCUCUUUCAGCUAUGACGAAGCGCAAGUGACGGUAGUAGCAGAAGAAGGACCGGCCAACUACGUGCCAGCCGCCGCUGUAA
rnacentral:rRNA from 1 species